GCUGCCAAACCUUUAAUCUCCGCUUCAAUAAUAUCCCAGUAAGAUUGAAAAAACACACCUUGGAAUCCAUCCGGCCCUGGAGCUUUCAACCUUCCCAUCUGAACCACAGCAUCUUUAAUUUCCUCAUCCGCCAAAGGUCGAGACAACAUUUCAUUCAUCUGCGCCGUAACCACAGGUUGAACACAGUCCAAAAUAUUUCCCCAGUCACGAUGCCCAUUUGAGGAGAAUAAAUUAGAAGAGUUUAAACUCAACUCCGUUCACCUACUAGAAAGAUAAAUGGAGAAUCGCAGCAAAAGAAAAAGAAAGCCGGAAUCCGACGACAUUAGCGACGACACCGCCUUCGCCGUCGUGCUGGCCGCUCUCUCAUCUCUGAACCCCAACUCCCUCCGACCCUUAAUCAAUAAAUGCCUAAACAAACUCCACCACUCGAUCACCGAUCCCACCCUCUCUCUUCUCCCAACUCUCCUCACUUUCAACUCUCCUGCAAUAUCUCGCCGUGCCGCUGAGAUGGUGGGGUCCGCCGCCCUGGAGUCCUUGGACAUGAACCAGAGGAUUGCUUCCGAUGCUGACAUAAUCAAUAGCUUGCUCUCCGCAUUGGCCAGCUCCAACACUGGCGUCUCAGUGGCUGCCUGCAAUGCCCUUCUGGAUUUGUGCACAACUGGUUUCGGACGGCGUCGUUUGCUCGAUUCCUAUGCGCUUCCCAGGAUUCUUUCUGGGUUUCUUCAGGUUCAUAAAUCUUUGGAAAAUUCAGUGUCUUUUUGCUCUGUUUCUGUGGAUAGUGGAGGAGUUAUCGCACCAAAAAUCGGGUUUAAGGGAGAUGAACUUCCAGUGUUACUUCUUAGUGCUGCAGUUCUUCUCAUCAAUACCUGUAAAAUUGAGCAAUUGGAGAACAUCCCAACAAACCUCUCUCAUGUUUUUUUCGCCUUCAUGAGAAAUCUGUGGGUGAAAGUGCGGAAUGAAAUGGUGUUCGAAAGCCAAUUAGAGUCCACCCAAGGGGGGCAUUUACAUAUUAGCAACAUUAGGAUUAGUGAUAUAGCCGAAACCCUUUUUAGGCUUUCCAUUUGUGCCUCUCAGCUUAUCAAGCCUUUGCCUUUUCAUGUGGUUGAAAGGGGUAUAUUUGGAUUCUCUGAGUCUGGUUUUAAGGAUUUCAUAUCAAAUCAGUGGGAGGUGUCACCCUUUCUUGUGCGGCGUGGGCAUCCAGAAGGGGAUUUAGUUGAGGAGAAUGAUAGUUUUGGACCAUUUGUACGAUCUCUAAACACAACGGGAGCAUUUCCUUCCUUUCUUUCUUCUAUGCUUCCGAGGAUGGUUUCUUGUCUUCCUAUUGCUUCUGAUGAAUUUAACAUCCUUACUUUCCUAGGGGAGGUGAAAAAUAAAUUGGGUUGCCCUCUAACCUACCAGCAGGACAUUCGGGUUCUAAGAACAGACGGCCACCUAAAGAGGGAGGAACAUUUUUUUCUGAACAGUUUGAACUCUUGUUGUACAAAGGAUCCUCAUUAUCUUGGUGUCAAAGAUGUUUUCAAAUGUGAAGAAGCAUACAAGGAAGGUUAUACAGUUGCACUGCGUGGAAUGGAGUUCCGCUUUGAGAGCGUUGCUGCUAUUGCAGAUGGAUUGGCAUCUCUUUUUGGUCAACCAUCAAUUGGUGCCAAUAUGUACUUGACACCCCCUGAUUCUCAGGGUUUGGCUUGCCACUACGAUGACCAUUGUGUGUUUGUAUGCCAACUUGUUGGGACUAAGAAAUGGAGACUUUAUCCUCAGUCAAAUGUGCAUUUACCUCGCUUGUAUGAUCCUCUUGAUCGGCUACAUGCUUCAGAAGUGCAGAGUUCACCAGCUGAAUGCAAACAAUUUUUGCUGAGAGAAGGUGAUAUUUUGUAUAUUCCCAGAGGUGUUCUCCAUGAGGCAUGCACCGAGAAUGUUAGUUUUGAUGGGUCUGAUGGCAAUUCCUUACACCUUACACUCGGUAUUGAGGUUGAGCCUCCUUUUGAGUGGGAGGGAUUUGUUCAUGUUGCACUCUUCAGUUGGAACCAGAACCAAAAAAAAGCUCAUAACCUUUCCGAGUAUUCAUCUGGAAUUAUUCAUGAUAUAUCUGUGAAUUUGUUGCACGCUGCUAUUGUGCUGAUUGGCGAUUCUGAUUCUACCUUCCGGAAGGCUUGCUUGGUUGCUUCGGUUUUUUCGCAAUCACAUAUCCAUAAUUGGCUUGAUUUAAACCAGCGAAUUAUUUUCUGUCAGUUGAUUGACAAAAUUAAAAUAGAGUCACAGUUCUUGAAAGUGUUCAGGAAUGUAGAAUUAGCAAUUCAGAAAAGCGAAGAUCCUUUCCAACGAAUUAGAUGGCUUGGGUUUCUUAAUACGGAGGAGGAAAGCAGUCCAAAUUGUGAACAGAAUAUGCAUUUGAUGGGGAUGAAAAACUUGUUCACAUUGUGCAGUCAACAUAAAGGCAAGGUGGAAGCUACAUUCCAGCAGCUAACAUCUAGGUUUAGUAGUGAGGUGAUAUUUGAUGAUGCAAUAGAAAGGUAUAAGAUACUGCUAGAGACAUAUAGAAGGGCCAGAAAGCAAUAUAUGAAUGGGAUGGUUUCACUGCAUUAUGAAUUAUGAGUUUAGAGACAUUCGCUUCCUCCUCUCUGUUCAUAAUUAUAGCUAGUUCUGACAGUGUGAGACCCUGAUGGAAGGGAAUGAAUCAGCUCCGUCUUGCACAGUGGGAUCUGAUUCAUACGUCAAUGAUCCAGCUUUAUACCUAAUGUAGCCAGUUUACGGUUAAAGUGCCAUUCUAUAACCUAUGGCUCAAGCCGGUCGUCUUCCUGGGAGAGAAGCCCGUGAAGCGGAAUUGAUCUUGUGGGAAGAAAGAUAGAGACCUGUUAUAAGGAAACAGAAGAUGACGAUACACAAAGAUUUCAUCAUUUAUACAGCUGAAAUGAAAAGCUUCCUAUACUUAGAGCAGUUCCAACGUGGGAACACCCCUCCCCCCCAAAAAAAAACCCCAAAAAAGGCAAUACACUAUGCUAUCCACCCAGUGAACAGUAACUGUCCUUAAUUAACAGUAAUCAUCUUUUGCAUCUCCACCGUUGCAUUUCAAUAGCCUUGACAAUAAGCAAUAAAAUAUUAGUAUAAUACAAAAUAAUUUUUUUUGUAACUUCGAAUAAGAUUUUUAAUCGUUCUCGUUGCUCCACUUGUCAUAAUCCGAAAAAAACAAUUAUUGGUGAUGGAUUUCCGAUAAGAUUAUUAACCAAUCACGUCGCGCCAUGUGUCAUAAUCUGUUUACAAUCUUUGAGGAUAGAUUUCCAUUAGAUUUUUAAUGAAUGACGGCAUGUCACGUGAUAUUAUCUACAACCUAAUCCUUUCUGAAUUCUCCAUAUAAUCAUCCCCCAUGCAUCCUCACAAAUCUCACACCAAUUUUCUUAAGAUUUCUAUCAUUAUUCAUAGUUUUUGCUUCCUUCUUCACCAAAAUU